ensembl:piRNA 21ur-14371 ncRNA
UUCCGAGUCGAAAUGUUUUCC